GAUGAACGCUGGCGGCGUGCCUAAUACAUGCAAGUCGAGCGAACAGACGAGGAGCUUGCUCCUCUGACGUUAGCGGCGGACGGGUGAGUAACACGUGGAUAACCUACCUAUAAGACUGGGAUAACUUCGGGAAACCGGAGCUAAUACCGGAUAAUAUAUUGAACCGCAUGGUUCAAUAGUGAAAGACGGUUUUGCUGUCACUUAUAGAUGGAUCCGCGCCGCAAUAGCUAGUUGGUAAGGUAACGGCUUACCAAGGCAACGAUGCGUAGCCGACCUGAGAGGGUGACAGGCCACACUGGAACUGAGACACGGUCCAGACUCCUACGGGAGGCAGCAGUAGGGAAUCUUCCGCAAUGGGCGAAAGCCUGACGGAGCAACGCCGAGUGAGUGAUGAAGGUCUUCGGAUCGUAAAACUCUGUUAUUAGGGCAGAACAAAUGUGUAAGUAACUAUGCACGUCUUGACGGUACCUAAUCAGAAAGCCACGGCUAACUACGUG
rnacentral:rRNA from 1 species